rnacentral:rRNA from 1 species
GACGAACGCUGGCGGCGUGCUUAACACAUGCAAGUCGAACGGAAAGGCCCUGCUUUUGUGGGGUGCUCGAGUGGCGAACGGGUGAGUAACACGUGAGUAACCUGCCCUUGACUUUGGGAUAACUUCAGGAAACUGGGGCUAAUACCGGAUAGGAGCUCCUGCUGCAUGGUGGGGGUUGGAAAGUUUCGGCGGUUGGGGAUGGACUCGCGGCUUAUCAGCUUGUUGGUGGGGUAGUGGCUUACCAAGGCUUUGACGGGUAGCCGGCCUGAGAGGGUGACCGGCAACAUUGGGACUGAGAUACGGCCCAGACUCCGACGGGAGGCAGCAGGGGGGAAUAUUGCACAAUGGGCGGAAGCCUGAGGCAGCAACGCCGCGUGCGGGAUGACGGCUUGCGGGUUGUAAACCGCUUUCGCCUGUGACGAAGGGUGAGGGACGGUAAUGGGUAAAGAAGCACCGGCUAACUACGUG